UACGGGGGGGGCAAGCGUUGUUCGGAAUUACUGGGCGUAAAGGGCGCGUAGGCGGUUGGAUAAGUCAGCUGUGAAAACCACGGGCUUAACUCGUGGCCUGCAGUUGAGACUGUCUGGCUUGAGUGUGGGAGAGGAGAGUGGAAUUCCUGGUGUAGCGGUGAAAUGCGUAGAUAUCUGGAGGAACACCGGUGGCGAAGGCGGCAUCCUGGACCGGUAUUGACGCUGAGGCGCGAAAGCUAGGGGAGCAAACGGG
rnacentral:rRNA from 1 species